rnacentral:hammerhead_ribozyme from 1 species
AUUCAGCUGACGAGUCCGGAACAGGAUGAAACGCGCGUCCUGGAU